rnacentral:sRNA from 1 species
UCGUUUCUACUCUUAGCAGAGUGGUCGU